rnacentral:rRNA from 1 species
UACGGAGGAUGCGAGCGUUAUCCGGAUUUAUUGGGUUUAAAGGGUGCGUAGGCGGACGCUUAAGUCAGCGGUAAAAUUGCGGGGCUUAACCUCGUCGAGCCGUUGAAACUGGGUGCCUUGAGUGGGCGAGAAGUACGCGGAAUGCGUGGUGUAGCGGUGAAAUGCAUAGAUAUCACGCAGAACUCCGAUUGCGAAGGCAGCAUACCGGCGCCCGACUGACGCUGAAGCACGAAAGCGUGGGGAGCAAACAGG